GACGAACGCUGGUGGCGUGCCUAACACAUGCAAGUCGAGCGAAGUGAGUACUACGGUACGAACUUAGCGGCGGACGGGUGAGUAACGCGUGGACAAUCUACCCUGUAGACUGGGAUAACACCUCGAAAGGGGUGCUAAUACCGGAUAAUGUCGAGAAGCGGCAUCGCUUUUCGAAGAAAGGAGAGAAUCCGCUAUAGGAGGAGUCCGCGUCCCAUUAGCUAGUUGGUGAGGGUAACGGCCCACCAAGGCGACGAUGGGUAGACGGCCUGAGAGGGUGAAAGGCCACUGGAACUGAGACACGGUCCAGACUCCUACGGGAGGCAGCAGUGGGGAAUAUUGUGCAAUGGGGGAAACCCUGACACAGCAACGCCGCGUGAGCGAAGAAGGCCUUCGGGUUGUAAAGCUCAAUAGUAUGGGAAGAUAAUGACGGUACCAUACGAAAGCCCCGGCUAACUACGUGCCAGCCGCCGCGGUAAAAC
rnacentral:rRNA from 1 species